rnacentral:rRNA from 1 species
GACGAACGCUGGCGGCGUGCUUAACACAUGCAAGUCGAACGGAAAGGCCCUGCUUUUGUGGGGUGCUCGAGUGGCGAACGGGUGAGUAACACGUGAGUAACCUGCCCUUGACUUUGGGAUAACUUCAGGAAACUGGGGCUAAUACCGGAUAGGAGCUCCUGCUGCAUGGUGGGGGUUGGAAAGUUUCGGCGGUUGGGGAUGGACUCGCGGCUUAUCAGCUUGUUGGUGGGGUAGUGGCUUACCAAGGCUUUGACGGGUAGCCGGCCUGAGAGGGUGACCGGCCACAUGGGGACUGAGAUACGGCCCAGACUCCUACGGGAGGCAGCAGUGGGGAAUAUUGCACAAUGGGAGGAAGCCUGAUGCAGCAACGCCGCGUGCGGGAUGACGGCCUUCGGGUUGUAAACCGCUGUCGCCUGUGACGAAGCGUGAGUGACGGUAAUGGGUAAAGAAGCACCGGCUAACUACGUG